rnacentral:rRNA from 1 species
AAUGAACGCUGGCGGCGUGCGUAACACAUGCAAGUCGAACGUGAAAGUCCCCUUCGGGGGAUGAGUAAAGUGGCAAACGGGUGAGUAACACGUGGGUAACCCUGCCCUCUGGUGGGGGAUAACCCUGCGAAAGCGGGGCUAAUACCGCAUAACAAGUCGCUAAAUAAUUAGUCGACUUCAAAGCCUUCGGGCGCUAGAGGAGGGGCCCGCGUCCCCAUUAGCUAGUUGGUAGGGUAACGGCCUACCAAGGCUGCGAUGGGUAGCCGGCCUGAGAGGGUGUCCGGCCACACUGGAACUGAGACACGGUCCAGACUCCUACGGGAGGCAGCAGUGGGGAAUUUUGCGCAAUGGGCGAAAGCCUGACGCAGCGACGCCGCGUGGGUGAUGAAGUUCUUCGGAACGUAAAGCCCUGUCAGGAGGGACGAAGCUCUGACGGUACCUCCAAAGGAAGCCCCGGCUAACUCCGUGCCAGCAGCCACGGUAAACUAGUCUACG